UACGGAGGGGGCAAGCGUUAAUCGGAAUUACUGGGCGUAAAGCGUGCGCAGGCGGUUUGUUAAGUCUGCUGUGAAAUCCCCGAGCUCAACUUGGGAAUUGCAGUGGAUACUGGCAAGCUGGAGUACGGUAGAGGAAGGUGGAAUUCCCGGUGUAGCAGUGAAAUGCGUAGAGAUCGGGAGGAACACCAGUGGCGAAGGCGGCCUUCUGGACCAGUACUGACGCUCAUGCACGAAAGCGUGGGGAGCAAACAGG
rnacentral:rRNA from 1 species